GAAUUAAUAAUCAUAUUUUAAGUAUAAUUUUUACAAAUAAACAUAGUUGCGUUGAUAUUCUUUAACGGGUAAAAUGUAAAUGUGGUCACUGGUGUUUUUGAGUAUAUAGCUUCUUCUUUUUGUCAACACCAAUCGAGCUCCCAUGGAUUUGAUCCCAAAACCUCCUAUUUCUAUUUGAAAUGUUAGUAACAAAACAACCCAAGCAACA
rnacentral:lncRNA from 1 species